UACAGAGGGUGGCAAGCGUUAUCCGGAAUUAUUGGGCGUAAAGAGCUCGUAGGCGGCUUGUCACGUCGGGUGUGAAAGCCCGGGGCUUAACCCCGGGUCUGCAUUCGAUACGGGCUAGCUAGAGUGUGGUAGGGGAGAUCGGAAUUCCUGGUGUAGCGGUGAAAUGCGCAGAUAUCAGGAGGAACACCGAUGGCGAAGGCAGGUCUCUGGGCCACUACUGACGCUGAGAAGCGAAAGCAUGGGGGAGCGAACAGG
rnacentral:rRNA from 1 species